rnacentral:rRNA from 1 species
GAUCAAGCUAGAAAGAGCAUAGGGUGAAUGCCUUGGCACUAGGAGCCGAAGAAGGACGCAGCAAUCUGCGAAAAGCCAUGGUGAGCCGAAAGCAGGCCGAGACCCAUGGGUAUCCGAAUGGGGAAACCCACCUGGGGUAAUGCCCAGGUAUCCAUAACUGAAUCCAUAGGUUAUGAGAAGGUAAACCCGGGGAACUGAAACAUCUAAGUACCCGGAGGAAGAGAAAGAAACCUCGAUUUCCUGAGUAGCGGCGAGCGAACGGGAAAGAGCCCAAACCGUAUCAGAAAUGAUACGGGGUUGUGGACCGGAAUAAGAUCAGACAUCAUUAACCGAACCGUCUGGAAAGUCGGGCCAGAGCAGGUGACAGUCCUGUAGGUGAAAAUGAUGAAAGAUUGUCCGGUAUCCAGAGUACCACGGGACACGUGAAACCCUGUGGGAAGCAGGGGGGCCCACCCCCCAAGGCUAAAUACUACCUAGUGACCGAUAGUGAAGAAGUACCGUGAGGGAAAGGUGAAAAGCACCCCGGGAGGGGAGUGAAAGAGAACCUGAAACCCUAUGUUUACAAGCGGUGGAAGCACGUUAAGGUGCGACCACGUACUUUUUGUAGAACGGACCGGCGAGUUACGAUAUGAUGCGAGGUUAAGGACUAAAGGUCUGGAGCCGAAGGGAAACCGAGUCUGAAAAGGGCGAAUAUAGUAUCAUGUUGUAGACCCGAAACCAGGUGACCUAUCCAUGGACAGGAUGAAGCGGAAGUAAAAUUCCGUGGAGGUCCGAAUCCACCGUUGUUGAAAAAACGGGGAAUGAGCUGUGGAUAGCGGUGAAAUGCCAAUCGAACUUGGAGAUAGCUGGUUCUCCUCGAAAUAGCUUUAGGGCUAGCCUCAGGAGAAGAAUCGUGGAGGUAGAGCACUGAAUGGGCUAGGGGGCCAACAAGCUUACCGAACCCUAUCAAACUCCGAAUGCCAUAGAUUUGCUUCCUGGGAGUCAGACUGCGGGAGAUAAGUUUCGUAGUCAAAAGGGAAACAGCCCAGAUCAUCAGCUAAGGUCCCAAAGUACAGGUUAAGUGGAAAAGGAUGUGGGAUUGCACAGACAACCAGGAUGUUGGCUUAGAAGCAGCCAUACAUUUAAAGAGUGCGUAAUAGCUCACUGGUCGAGUGAUCCUGCGCCGAAAAUGUCCGGGGCUCAAACCUGUCACCGAAGCUAUGGAUUG